GUUUUCAUUGAGGCGCGAAAGUACACAAGGACUCGGGAGUGAAAGGUGACUAAAGCAGAAUGGCAGCCAAAAAAAGAAAGAUGGACAUAAGGACAUUUUUUACAAAAAGUCAAAGUGUGAAUGAAGCAGUGCAACCUGGUAAAAGCAGUACAGAGGCAGGUGGAGCAACAGGGUCGCAGGUGAGGUCUGUAAUGG